UACGUAGGAGGCAAGCGUUGUCCGGAUUUACUGGGCGUAAAGAGCGUGUAGGCGGUUGGGCAAGUCUGCUGUGAAAUCUCCAGGCUCAACUUGGAGGGGUCAGUGGAAACUGCCAAACUUGAGGACGGUAGAGGGGGGUGGAAUUCCCGGUGUAGUGGUGAAAUGCGUAGAGAUCGGGAGGAACACCAGCGGCGAAGGCGGCUCACUGGACUGGUAUUGACGCUGAGGUGCGAAAGCGUGGGGAGCAAACAGG
rnacentral:rRNA from 1 species